rnacentral:rRNA from 1 species
GAUGAACGCUAGCUACAGGCUUAACACAUGCAAGUCGAGGGGCGUCAGGAAGAAAGCUUGCUUUCUUUGCUGGCGACCGGCGCACGGGUGAGUAACACGUAUCCAACCUGCCCUUUACUCGGGGAUAGCCUUUCGAAAGAAAGAUUAAUACCCGAUAGCAUAAUGAUUCCGCAUGGUUUCAUUAUUAAAGGAUUCCGGUAAAGGAUGGGGAUGCGUUCCAUUAGGUUGUUGGUGAGGUAACGGCUCACCAAGCCUUCGAUGGAUAGGGGUUCUGAGAGGAAGGUCCCCCACAUUGGAACUGAGACACGGUCCAAACUCCUACGGGAGGCAGCAGUGAGGAAUAUUGGUCAAUGGGCGGUAGCCUGAACCAGCCAAGUAGCGUGAAGGAUGAAGGCUCUAUGGGUCGUAAACUUCUUUUAUAUAAGAAUAAAGUGCAGUAUGUAUACUGUUUUGUAUGUAUUAUAUGAAUAAGGAUCGGCUAACUCCGUGCCAGCAGCCGCGGUAAUACGGAGGAUCCGAGCGUUAUCCGGAUUUAUUGGGUUUAAAGGGAGCGUAGGUGGACUGGUAAGUCAGUUGUGAAAGUUUGCGGCUCAACCGUAAAAUUGCAGUUGAUACUGUCAGUCUUGAGUACAGUAGAGGUGGGCGGAAUUCGUGGUGUAGCGGUGAAAUGCUUAGAUAUCACGAAGAACUCCGAUUGCGAAGGCAGCUCACUGGACUGCAACUGACACUGAUGCUCGAAAGUGUGGGUAUCAAACCAGG